GGUUAUUUGUUUUCUUCCUACUGAGUUGUUUGAGUUUCUUAUCUACACUUUAGAUCAUAACAACCCCUUCUCAGAUACAUGGUUUGCAAAUGUAUUCUCUCACUCUGUGGAGUCUCACUCUGUAGCCCAAGCUGGAGUGGCGUGAUCUCGACUCACUGCAACCUCCGCCUCCUGGGAUCAAGUGAUUCUCGUGCCUCAGCCUCCUGAGUAGCCGGGACUACAGGUCACAGAAUUUUCCACACUCCUUGACAGAGGUGCUUAACCCUUAUCCAUCAGCAUUCUCAGACAGCACCUCCGGUUAGGGACAGUAUCUGACCGUCCGACAUCCCUGCAGCCCCCAUGUGUCACACAGACUCAGCCUCAGGUAGAUGGUUUCCGUAGAUGGUGGCUUUCUUUGGACCCUUGACAUCAACCAGUUACUAUUUGGUCUAGGGGUCUCACCAACGCUGCUCAUCUAGCAGGGCCACACAUAACAAAUAGAAGCAGAGCAAGCCCUGGAACUCCUGCCUGACAGUGACACGACGACAGAAACAUCUUACCAGUCAGAGGACCAUGAGAAAUAGAUUCAAGGAGCAUUCCACGUGCAAGUGAGUCUUGGCCCCAUCUGCCUUUGGAUUUUAGCCGUGAACUGGAAGGUAUUGGAAAGAAGACCCUCAGAAAUAGCUUAAUCAAAAUCCCUGCGUCUGAACCAAGUGCCUUAUUUCUCUGUGGGCCUCAAGCUUCGCUGACAUCUGUGGAGCACACUGUCCUAACAGGAGUGCUGUCUGAUUUCCCAACGCUCUGCAAAACAAACAGCCUGGAAGGGUGGCUGGUGGAAGGUGGUUUUUAGAGAGAGACUUGUAGAUAACAGGAAAGUGAAGGCUGUAAGGAAGGUUGUAAUUAAACAGCACAUGGAAACACAAUCACAUUAUUGUCCCAUUCCAUAGGGAUAAUGAUGACCACUUCAGUGGGAAAAGGAGAGGUUUUAAGUCAUUAGGGACUAUGGGCCACCUUUUAGGAAGAUUUAUUUUCAAAGGUUAAAAUAGUGUUUUGGCAAUUCAAGUUUCAUUUUCAGAAAAUGUAAUUGAUGGGAACCUCAGUGACUCUGGAUGAAUAAGAUGCUGUUGAGUGGCUCUGACUUGGGCCAGCCGUGCUUCUCACAGGACCUUGGAGACCAAGGUCACUGUGAUCUCAGGUUCAGGGGGCAAGUCCUCUCCACACAGCCCUAGUUGGCCUCACAGCUGAAAAUGUCUCCCUUACUGUUGGACUCCUUUGUUCACCCACAUGAGUUUGUGAAUAAAUCCUUUCCAGUCUGAAA
rnacentral:lncRNA from 10 species